CAAGACAUAGUUUAAGAAGAAUGCUGGCUUUGGGGGCCAGGGGUGGGGGAAGUAGCCCUGUCUUGA
rnacentral:tRNA from 1 species